GAUGAAGAACGUAGCGAAAUGCGAUAAGUAAUGUGAAUUGCAGAAUUCAGUGAAUCAUCGAAUCUUUGAACGCACAUUGCGCCCGCCAGCAUUCUGGCGGGCAUGCCUGUUCGAGCGUCAUUUCAACCCUCAAGCUCUGCUUGGUGUUGGGGCCCUACGGUUGACGUAGGCCCUUAAAGGUAGUGGCGGACCCUCUCGGAGCCUCCUUUGCGUAGUAACUAACGUCUCGCACUGGGAUUCGGAGGGACUCUUGCCGUAAAACCCCCAAAUUUUUAAAGGUUGACCUCGCAUCAGGUAGGAAUACCCGCUGAACUUAAGCAUAUCAAUAAGCGGAGGA
rnacentral:misc_RNA from 1 species